rnacentral:rRNA from 1 species
CGAACGCUGGCGGCGUGCCUAACACAUGCAAGUCGGACGAGAAAGCGGGCUUCGGCCCGUCAGUAAAGUGGCAGACGGGUGAGUAACACGUGGGUAACCUGCCCGGAGGUGGGGGAUAACACUUCGAAAGGAGCGCUAAUACCGCAUAACAUCCGAGAGGCCUCGGCUUCUCGGAUCAAAGCUGGCCUCUACUUGUAAGCUAGCGCCACCGGAGGGGCCCGCGGCCCAUUAGCUUGUUGGUGAGGUAACGGCUCACCAAGGCCACGAUGGGUAGCCGGCCUGAGAGGGCGAUCGGCCACACUGGAACUGAGACACGGUCCAGACUCCUACGGGAGGCAGCAGUGAGGAAUUUUGCGCAAUGGGGGAAACCCUGACGCAGCGACGCCGCGUGGAGGACGAAGGCCUUCGGGUCGUAAACUCCUGUCAAGGGGGACGAACCCCGCCGGGACGAAUACUCUCGGCGGUUGACGGUACCUCUGGAGGAAGCCCCGGCUAACUCC